AUUGAACGCUGGCGGCAUGCCUUACACAUGCAAGUCGAACGGCAGCACGGGUGCUUGCACCUGGUGGCGAGUGGCGAACGGGUGAGUAAUACAUCGGAACGUACCUUAUCGUGGGGGAUAACGCAGCGAAAGCUGUGCUAAUACCGCAUACGCCCUGAGGGGGAAAGCGGGGGAUCGCAAGACCUCGCGCGAUUAGAGCGGCCGACGCCUGAUUAGCUUGUUGGUGGGGUAAAAGCCCACCAAGGCGACGAUCAGUAGCUGGUCUGAGAGGACGAUCAGCCACACUGGGACUGAGACACGGCCCAGACUCCUACGGGAGGCAGCAGUGGGGAAUUUUGGACAAUGGGGGCAACCCUGACCCAGCAAUGCCGCGUGAGUGAAGAAGGCCUUCGGGUUGUAAAGCUCUUUUGUCAGGGAAGAAACACCGGCUCUAACACAGUCUGGGAAUGACGGUACCUGAAGAAUAAGCACCGGCUAACUACGUGCCAGCAGCCGCAGUAA
rnacentral:rRNA from 1 species